GGGCAGCGCAGGCGAGGGCCUUUCAGGGCAGCGCAGGCAUGGUGGUAAAUCCUCGAGGACAAUGCAGUACGGUAGUCUUCGAGGGCAGCGCAGGUUCACGAAAAAGACUAAAUAGGCAGCGCAGGCUCACAAGGAAGAUUCAGUCUUGCUACUCAGCUCGGGAAGAGGUUUUCAAUCUUCAGCGCUGUACUCCAGCCCUGCGGGGAUAAGAUAACUGAUGAUUGGGAGAUGAACACAUUCACGAAUCAAAAUUUCGGAAUGCUACGGGAAAAUUUUGAGAGCCAUGGUUCAUCCUAAUUUGAUGGGAAGUGCCUCCAUUUGCUAGCGUUUUUCAAUUUAUUUUCAUGUGAUUAUUUUGCCUAUAAUCUCAUUUUUGUUCCAUUUAUCGUGCCAGGAAUAUCGAUCAAAGCUCAAGUGUUCAAGGGAACUACUAGUGAAACCUGGGGAAAUGCUACCGGAGCAUGAUGUUCGACCAAAGAGAAGGAAAAGCGCCGCACAGCUCAUUAGCUGCACCAAGACUGCGCAGGGAGGAAGAUGGCAGUUCACUAACUGCGCUGAUGCAGUAUGCUGAUGCAACGCAGGAACUCUACAUUAUCUCAGCGCAGAAUAUAAUAGUCGUGUCCAACACAGAAUCCCUCAGCAGUCUCCAGUGCAGAAUGUCUGAGCCAUAAUGUAACGAUGAAAAUGAGCUUUAGUGGCAAUUCAGCCACGCUUCGGAGGGGAAAAUCUUAAGUAGAAUUUGGGUCUUCUCAGCGCAGUCAGGAUAUUUAUCUCAGCUACCUCUGCGCAGUUAUCUCAGCGCAACUAUCUCAGUUAUCUUAGCUACCUCAGCGCAGCUAUCUCAGCGCAGCUAUCUCAGCACAGUCAGGGCAGUUAUUUCAGCUACCUCAGGGAAGCUACCUCAGCGCAGUAAGGACAUUUAUCUCAGCCACUUCAGCGCAGCCAUCUCAAGGCAGCUAUCUCAGCUAUCUCAGCGCAGCUAUCUCAGUUAUCUCAGUAGUUUUCAGCGCAGAAUGUCCGAGCCGUUGUCAGUUCAGAUUGUCUAUGCUCCGCGCAGGAAUAUCGUAAGCCGCGAAAGUUAGACAGGGGUGUACCACCUUAAGGGCCGCGUUGCGGAAGUGUAAUCUUAAGGGCCGCGUUGCGGAAGUGUACCAUCUUAAGGGCCGCGUUGCGGAAGUGUACCAUCUUAAGGGCCGCGUUGCGGAAGUGUAAUCUUAAGGGCCGCGUUGCGGAAGUGUACCAUCUUAAGGGCCGCGUUGCUGAAGUGUACCAUCUUAAGGGCCGCGUUGCGGAAGUGUACCAUCUUAAGGGCCGCGUUGCGGAAGUGUAAUCUUAAGGGCCGCGUUGCGGAAGUGUACCAUCUUAAGGGCCGCGUUGCGGAAGUGUACCAUCUUAAGGGCCGCGUUGCGGAAGUGUAAUCUUAAGGGCCGCGUUGCGGAAGUGUAUCAUCUUUGUUAGUGCAGGUAGUGCAGCGCAGUCAGCGCGGGGUUGUCAGCGCAGUCGGUGCAGCGCAGUCAGCGCGAGGUUGUCAACACAGAUCACUUGAGUCUUCCCAGCACAGGUUAUCUAAGCCCUUAUUAUCUUUAAUGAUGUUCGACGAAUCAAAAGGAAUAAUUGCUAUCUCUUUUAUCUUAGCUUAUUUCUAGCAUUAAAAUACUUUGUCUUUAUCAUUUUUGCAAAGAUUGACAGUUCUUGUCUAAUAAGUCGCAGGGAAUCGUGUAUGCUUAAUUGACACGGGAGAGCAGCACAGCGCUGACUUCACACCACACACCACUAGUUGAACAAAGAGAACGCUGUUCAACUAGACUAGGGGGGAGUAGCUGAUGAGGACUGUAAUUCCCAUCAGCGCUGUGCUUAGCAAUCUAAGCCUAUUUUACCUUAUUAUUACUAUUAUUAUUAUUAUUAUUAUUAUAGAAACUAACAGCGCAGGUACGAUCGGAUAUCUUAGAUAAAAGAGUAAGAAAUCCACCUAAGUAGAUGGAGUGAAGAAUGAUCGCACACAGAAACCUUCCCACGCAGCCAAGGUGCCUUCCUGCGCAGCCAAGUAGCUUUCCCGUGCAGCCGCGCAGCCAGACCAGAGCAACGCAGCCGAGCUGCACAGCCAGACCAGAGCAGCGCGGCAGCGCUGCGCAGUCAGAGCAGCGCCACCAAAGUGCCUUUCCUGCGCAGCUACGUAUGAUAGUUCAACUUCGGGAAUAAGACCAUUGUACUGAGUUUUGGGCCCAAUUGACUAGAUGAGUGGGCUUUUAGAAUUAGGGCUUGCUCACAAACUAUAAAUAGCACAUCUAUUGGAGAACUAGGGGAUCAACUCAUUCAAGCAACACACUUGUAAUAUGUAACUCUCUCUCAAAGUAUAGUGAAACCAACGAAGAACCUCUCGUGGACGUAGGUCUUGAUGGCCGAACCACGUAAA